GACGAACGCUGGCGGCGUGCCUAAUACAUGCAAGUCGAACGCAUUUUCUUUCACCGUAGCUUGCUACACCGAAAGAAAAUGAGUGGCGAACGGGUGAGUAACACGUGGGUAACCUGCCCAUCAGCGGGGGAUAACACUUGGAAACAGGUGCUAAUACCGCAUAAUUCCAUUUACCGCAUGGUAGAUGGGUGAAAGGCGCUUUUGCGUCACUGAUGGAUGGACCCGCGGUGCAUUAGCUAGUUGGUGGGGUAACGGCCUACCAAGGCUGCGAUGCAUAGCCGACCUGAGAGGGUGAUCGGCCACACUGGGACUGAGACACGGCCCAGACUCCUACGGGAGGCAGCAGUAGGGAAUCUUCGGCAAUGGACGCAAGUCUGACCGAGCAACGCCGCGGGAGUGAAGAAGGGUUUCGGAUCGUAAAACUCUGUUGUUAGAGAAGAACAAGGAUGAGAGUGGAAAGUUCAUCCCUUGACGGUAGCUAACCAGAAAGCCACGGCUAACUACGUG
rnacentral:rRNA from 1 species